CCCUUAGAUGUUCUGGGCCGCACGCGCGCUACACUGACUGACUCAACGAGUGUACAACCUGCUUCGACAGAAGUGGGUAAUCUUUUGAAAUUCAGUCGUGAUGGGGCUAGAUUAUUGCAACUAUUAAUCUUCAACGAGGAAUGCCUAGUAAGCGCGAAUCAUCAGUUCGCGUUGAUUACGUCCCUGCCCUUUGUACACACCGCCCGUCGCUCCUACCGAUUGAAUGGUCCGGUGAAAUCCUCGGAUCGAGCCGUGGGGCAACUCCGGUUCGAGAAGUUGAUUAAACCUUACCAUUUAGAGGAAGGUGAAGUCGUAACA
rnacentral:rRNA from 1 species